CUAGCUUAUUAAGUUUGUUUAAUUAGAGAGAAACUUAAAGUUAAGGUAAGAAUUCUUUAAUUUUCUAGGGGACGAUAAGACCCUAGAAGCUUGACAAACAGGUUUUUUUUAGUUUUAGUCGAUAGUUUGUUUUACUGGGGCGGUAAAAAUAAUUAAGCUAUUUAUAAUUUAAAGGAUCCUUAAAAUAAAGAAAGAAUGGGGAAGUUACUCUAGGGAUAACAGUGCGAUAUUUUUGGAGAGAUCUUAUCGAUAAAUGUGUUUGCAACCUCGAUGUUGAAUUAAAAUGUCUUUAUGACGUAGGAGGUAUAGAAGAAGGUUUGUUCAACCUUUAAAUUUUUACAUGAU
rnacentral:rRNA from 1 species